UGGUCUUUGUACAGUGACCUGUGAAC
rnacentral:piRNA from 1 species